UCGAGAAUAUUCCACAAUGGGCGAAAGCCUGAUGGAGCGACACCGCGUGGAGGAUGACAGCCUUCGGGUUGUAAACUCCUUUUCUACAGGAAGAAGGUACGAUGAGUACUGUGACGGUACUGUAGGAAUAAGUGGCUGCAAACUUCGUGCCAGCAGCCGCGGUAAUACGAAGGCCACAAGCGUUAUCCGGAUUUAUUGGGCGUAAAGGGCGCGUAGGGGGUUCGGUAAGUCUUCUGUAAAAUUCCGGAGCUUAACUUCGGAGCCGCAGAGGAUACUGCCAGACUAGAGGGCGUUAGAGGUACACGGAACGCACGGUGUAGGGGUGAAAUCCGUUGAUAUCGUGCGGAACACCAAAGGCGAAGGCAGUGUACUGGGACGUUCCUGACCCUGAGGCGCGAAAGCGUGGGGAGCAAAAAGG
rnacentral:rRNA from 1 species